ACCAGCCUGAGUAGAAGCUACCAUCAUCUUUGACCCUGUCCAUUGGUCUGACCUCUGAACUGGUCACCUUUGACUCCUGAGAACUAACCAACCACCACAACAGCCACAGCAAGUCUUUUAAAAUAUGGACUUCAACAGGAUUUUUCAGGCAAUUUCAACUUCAUCAGUUGUAUCAUAAAGGACUAUUUCUUUAAUAAAAGAGAAAGUGGAAGGUAUAUUCAGUUUUCCCUUGAAGCCCUAAAAUGGGUCCUUGCCUGUCAUUGGAAGCCAGAGAUUUUGCAUCGUACCUCUCAGAAGCCUGCGUGGGAGAUUCAAGGAAGGCUUCCUCAAAGAAGUGAUGCUGGAACUGAAGACCUGUGGGUUGAGUAAGAGCUACCUAGUUAAACAGAGCCCUCAAGGCAACAUCAGGAGCAAAUGCCAUGUGGUUGCAGGACAGUAGACUAAUCCAAGGUACUUAAAGAAGGUCUGUGUGGCUGGCUCACAGAGCAAGGUGGAAUGUAUGAAGCUAGAGAGGUGGGUAGAGACAUUCAUAAUUUUAUAAGUCAUUUUGAUGAUUUUUUCUUAAU